GUCAUCAAUGUCAGCACACAUACAACAACUGGAAAAAUACAGAGAUUUGCAUGAUCCCUGGGCAAGGAUGGCAAGCAAAUUUGUGAAGCAUCCCAUAUAUGU